rnacentral:lncRNA from 1 species
UUGGGGUAUAGUAAUGGACUUGUCUCCAUCAGGACGUGAACCUGAGGGCAAAGGAUUGAAACUGUUGAAUUUGAUGCAUUUCCUAAUAGUGGAGGUUGUUAAAACCUGGGGAAAAAAUAGGUCUCUUGAGUUGUGGAACUGUGAAGUCUUGCUUGGGCUGUGGUGCUGUGUCAUACUCUGAAAGUAUAGAGGAGAUGACAUGCUGAGUGAGGCCCCUUUUAGCCGUGUUGUUCUGUGCCAUUUCAUGUAGCUAUGCAAGUGAUUUAGGGUGCUGACCACACAAGACAAAAGUACAGAUUAUUUGCCUCCAGACUAAUCAAAAAAUUCCGUUAUGUGCCUUGCUUUGUAAAGUAGUCUGUUGGGUUGUGUUAUUUAAAGAACAUUUCAUGUCAGAUUUUAUUGCUAUGAACACAUAUAUUUACUGGCUAGAUUUUAUUUACAAAUUACAUGCUUUAAAGAAAUUUCUAUAAAUCUGAAACUCUGAAUACUUUUAAAUGAGGUAAAUGCUAUUUUAUUUGUGUUUCUUCAAAACAUAAUCUGAUGGCAACACUGCUACUGUAUAUUUUAUGUGGAAAAGGUAAGGCUCUGAAACUAACUUUCUUAGACAGACAAAAUGGGCUGUGUGUGGUGCUGAAAAUAAGACCGGGUGUCCUGACAGUUUGUGCUCUGUGUGUUAGACCAGACUGUUAAUUAACAACGUUAUUGCUCUAAAAAACUGUUUAUAAGUUUCAGCUUUAUGUUUUCCUGUUCGUUAUGACGUAGUGAAGCACGUUUGUGUCCUCAGAAAAUAUUAGUGAUACUCAGCAACUGUGUUUCACUCUUAAUAUUACAUAUGCGUCCUGUUAAUAUCUUACUUUUGCUUGAAUGUUUCAGGUUUCCCCCCUCCACCAGGCGCCCCACCUCCAUCUCUUAUACCAACAAUAGAAAGGUAAAGCAGUGUGGUGCUCUGACUUGUUGAUCACUGACAGCCUUGCAGCAGAACCUUACAAAUAUGCCUUUGCUUGCAUUUUCUAAUAGAUAUAGCACCUGUCUAUACAUAAGUUUAAUCUGUAUUAAUUACUUUUAUGAAACUAUAUCCUAAUAUCAAAACAGGGAAAAGAAAAUGAAAAAUAGUUUGUUAAAAAUUAUUAAUAAUAAAUGUUUAUCUAUUGGAAAGAGGAAAGAACAACUGUUACUGUACUGUAAUAAAAAGAAAAGCUGGUUUCUUCCCACUACCCUGCUGCAUCUCUGCUUCCUUAUGGACUGACCGAGCUGUCCCCUAAGGCAGUAGCCUUAUUUUCUCCUGUCUUGUACUUAGUUUUCUUAGCCUCCUGUAUUGAAGAGUAUUCCCCCCGACAGUUUGUAUUUACCCCUUAGGAUUUCUCAUCAGUGUCGCUAGCUUACUGUCUCUCUAGACUUCAUUGUGAGGACUAGAAUGGCGCACAGCUCAGCAGGCAGAACUCACUAGUGAACGGCAGCUAUUCCAUUACUUCACUCUUGAGUGUAGAUAGUCUAAAAAGUCAUAGUCAAAUUAUGUAAAAGCAAAGGAAAAUUGGCUUCACUUAGUCUGGUGGCAUCUAGCCAUCCGUGUAGUUUUCAAAGUGCUGCUCCAGGAAGCAAAUUGUGAGAGGUGAGGAUUUAGUUUUCACCAUGUUCUUAUUAAACACACACUUGUUUCUCAGUCAGAAUGUUCUAUCUAAUGUACUAAUUACUGAGGAUUUAUAACUUAGAGUCAUUAAACCCAGUUUUUUAAGAUUAAAUUUUAAACCUCAAACAUUUCUUUAGUCUCUGAUUGUCCCUGUCUAUCUCACUGAGCCAGCUGACAUUGAUUGCAUGAGUUAGGCUGAACAGUACCAGCAAGUAGCUACUGGGUCUAAGGUUUUGAGGUAAAAAAAGUCUAUGCUAUAUUAAAAAUAACAAGACCUUGUAACAGAUUUUCAGACUUAAUUUUGCCUGGCUCUCCUUUUGUUUCCACUGAAUUAUUAAGAUUGAAUACAUAUUUGCAUUAGAUAUAAAGAUAGUUCUUUCCUCCACAGUGGCCAUUCCUCCGGGUAUGACAGCCGUUCUGCACGAGCGUUUCCCUAUGGCAAUGGUAAGUUUCUCACCACCCAGAUCCACUGCCAAUCAGCAGAAUACAUCUUGGUACUGAAAUAGAAACAUGUUUUUAUGGCUUAAGUUAGCAGAGUCACUAAGAAAUAGUAGUUGAAAGAAUUAAGUCUGUAGAUCUGACAGACUGCUUCAGAAGCCUGGUCUACAAAGUGAGUUCCAGGACAGCCAGGGCUACACAGAGAAACCCUGUCUCAAAAAACC